rnacentral:rRNA from 1 species
UACAGAGGUCUCAAGCGUUGUUCGGAUUCAUUGGGCGUAAAGGGUGUGUAGGUGGCGCUGUAAGUCGGGUGUGAAAUCUUGGAGCUUAACUCCGAAACUGCAUUCGAUACUGCCGUGCUUGAGGACUGGAGAGGAGACUGGAAUUUACGGUGUAGCGGUGAAAUGCGUAGAUAUCGUAAGGAAGACCAGUGGCGAAGGCGGGUCUCUGGACAGUUCCUGACGCUGAGGCACGAAGGCCAGGGGAGCAAACGGG